CACAAAAGGGGGCACACACAAACAAAUAUAAGAAUAUAAAUCUGGACACAAAAAGACAAGGAAUGGUCCACAUAAUCGUAGCAAACAUAUGGAAACGCUCCCUUGCUGUUUCUCUUGUCCCUUUUUCUCUUUCCCCUCCCUUUUUCUUUCACAACAAGUCAGCACACAUGGACAAAGACAGACAGACCCACUCCCCCUCCUCUUAGAAUAUUAAAUCCAUUCCAUUCCAUUGCAUUCUU
rnacentral:ribozyme from 1 species